rnacentral:hammerhead_ribozyme from 1 species
GUACUUCUGAGGAGUCCCACAAUAGAACGAAACGGCCGUUCAGUGC